UAAAAAGGUUACAAGGGCACUAAUAGUGGAUGCCUUGACAAUCAAUACCGAUGAAGGACGUAGAACUCUGCGAUAAGCCUCGGGGAUCUGAGAGCGAGAUUUGAUCCGGGGAUGUCCGAAUGGGGAAACCUAAUACAAGUCAUGUUGUAUUGCACUUAUCUGAACACAUAGGGUAAGGAGACGGGAACCAGCCGAACUGAAUCAUCUUAGUAGGUUGAGGAAAAGAAAAUAACCAAUGAUUCCGAAAGUAGUGGCGAGCGAAAUUGGAAUAGUCUA
rnacentral:rRNA from 1 species